CCUACGGGAGGCAGCAGUCGGGAAUUUUGGGCAAUGGGGGAAACCACUGACCCAGCAACGCCGCGUGAAGGAUGAAGUAUUUCGGUAUGUAAACUUCGAAAGAAUAGGAAGAAUUAAUGACGGUACUAUUUAUAAGGUCCGGCUAACUACGUGCCAGCAGCCGCGGUAAU
rnacentral:rRNA from 1 species